AGUCUUAUAUUCAAAAAUGAUAUAAAAUUGCAAAUUUUAAGGAGUAUUAAGUUAAAUUAUACUAAGGCUU
rnacentral:tRNA from 1 species